rnacentral:rRNA from 1 species
UAGGGAAUCUUGCGCAAUGGGGGAAACCCUGACGCAGCCAUGCCGCGUGAAUGAUGAAGGUCUUAGGAUUGUAAAAUUCUUUCAGCGGGGAAGAUAAUGACUGUACCCGCAGAAGAAGCUCCGGCUAACUUCGUGCCAGCAGCCGCGGUAAUACGAAGGGGGCUAGCGUUGCUCGGAAUUACUGGGCGUAAAGGGCGCGUAGGCGGGUGUUUAAGUCAGAGGUUAAAUCCCAGGGCUCAACCCUGGAACUGCCUUUGAUACUGGGCACCUAGAGUUCGGGAGAGGUGUGUGGAACUCCGAGUGUAGAGGUGAAAUUCGUAGAUAUUCGGAAGAACACCAGUGGCGAAGGCGACACACUGGCCCGAUACUGACGCUGAGGCGCGAAAGCGUGGGGAGCAAACAGGAUUAGAUACCCUGGUAGUCCACGCCGUAAACGAUGAGUGCUAGUUGUCGGCAUGCAUGCAUGUCGGUGACGCAGCUAACGCAUUAAGCACUCCGCCUGGGGAGUACGGUCGCAAGAUUA